GAACUUUUAUCAAGUUUUGAGUUUCAUUCAGUUCGUGGCGUGUAAAUUUCGAUAAAUCCGCGUUUAAAACUAAUUAUUCGGUGACUAAAUUCGCGAAAAAUUGUGUGAAAAUCAUAGGUCAAGAUUCGUUUGAAUUCUUCAUGCGGUUUUGUGAAAAAGACAUUUAAACAAUCAAAAGUACAAUCGAGUGAGCUGUGUGUUUAGAGAUAGACAAAAGAUGUACCAUUAGUGUUUGAUAUCCUUCUUGAUGUCUUGUUUCAGCAUUUAUUUUAUGAAGUGUUUCAUGUUCCUGAUAUAAUUAAAGGUGUAUUCGAAUCGUUGUGCUGGAUGCCGAAUCUGGAAAAUGAAUUCAUUAGAUGCAAAUAUUCGCACAGAAGUCAUUCUCGUUGUGUACAGAUUCAUCGGUUCGACUUCGAGUUGGUUAAUGAGCCAACGAAUAACCAGACGGGUACCAGGAAGAGAAUACAAUAUGCUAGUUGACAUUACGACUGGGAAGAUGGCGUUUUGUUGCAUAAUGGAUCGUGUAAAAAUACACUUUCAAUCAGGUCUGAGUGUUAAAUGAAAUGGAAGCUAUCAUAUCACAUGGAAGGACUUCUCAAGUAAACGUUUCACGGAUGUUUUGGAGGAAACCACGCUAUAAAUGUGUUUCGGGAAUUACAUUUGCAUAAGCUCUAAAUGGUUUUCUUUUUUUUGUUCGCCGAGUUCCUGGAGUCUCAGAUGGGAUGAGAGAUGAGUCUUCUUCGGGUUGAUGAUAACGUGACGUUGUACUACUCGAAAAAGAAAAAUUACUGCUUCAGAUGCUCAAGAUGCUCGAAGUCAAUUUCAAUGCACCAAUUCUUCGACUCUCAUCUCUCCGACCUCAAACCAGUUUUGAAAAUGUUAAAAAUCAGAAAUCGGUAAGCAUUCAUAAUUUAAGAUUUAAAAUACAUACCCUAGAAUGAUUUUUUUUUCGAAGCGAUGAAAGGACAUCAAAAAAACUAUGCAUUUGGAAUCAGGCUGCUCAUUAUAAAACAUCUCUCAAAAAUCUCAGCAUUUUUGCUGAUAUCCUCUCCCAACUGCUCAAAAUCACUCUCAAUUCUUAUCACAAUAGCUCAUCUUUUUUGUAAAUGGGGGAAAUUCGCCGCAAA